AAGUCCAGGGUUUUCAUAAACCUUAUCCGAAUUUGCAAUUCGGGCUUUUUUUUAUCUGAGCUAUGCC
rnacentral:tRNA from 1 species